GACACAAAAUAAAGAAUCAAAUGGAAUCAAAAAGACAAAACUAUUUUGUGUGUUUUUUGUGCAUCUAUUGUCGUUUGCUUCAGUAGUAGGUUUUUUCUUUUUUCUUUUUU
rnacentral:ribozyme from 1 species